GGUCCCCGUAGCAAGCCAAGAUCAUGUAGCUUCUCCAGCAGAUCAUCAUGCAGGGCAACAGAGAAGUGGAGCAGGCAUCGGCCACUUCCUCCAGAGCUACUGCGGCCAGAAGAAGGACCAGUGAGCACGGUUCUUGCCAUGGACUAAAUGUCCCUACCGUUGAGUCCUAGUUCCAGAACAGCGAGGAGGUCUGGCAUGUGGUUCAGGAGCACCUGUGCCAGACUGUCCACCACUACAAACAACAGGCUGACAAACAUUGCCGCCCCCUGACCUUCCGUUCCUGCAUUCCAAGCAUCAACAUGGGAGGAUGUACUGCCGGUGGACUGGGUAGGAUACGAGCCAGAGCAACGCAACUGGGUUCAGGCGUGCAACAUCCUCGACCCGUCCCUCAUCACCGACUUCCAGGGGAACCAUCCGACUGGUUGGCACCCCAUCCAAGAGGUCACCCUCCUUCCAGGGGUCACAGGGCAACCC